GACGAACGCUGGCGGCGUGCUUAACACAUGCAAGUCGAGCGGUAAGGCCCCUUCGGGGGUACACGAGCGGCGAACGGGUGAGUAACACGUGAGCAACCUACCCUCAACUUCGGGAUAAGCCUCGGAAACGGGGUCUAAUACCGGAUAUCAUCUCCUGCUUCAUGGCAGGGGGUUGAAAGUUCUGGCGGUUGGGGAUGGGCUCGCGGCCUAUCAGCUUGUUGGUGGGGUAAUGGCCUACCAAGGCGUCGACGGGAGCCGGCCUGAGAGGGCGACCGGCCACACUGGGACUGAGACACGGCCCAGACUCCUACGGGAGGCAGCAGUGGGGAAUAUUGCGCAAUGGACGAAAGUCUGACGCAGCAACGCCGCGUGAGUGAAGAAGGCCUUCGGUUGUAAG
rnacentral:rRNA from 1 species